rnacentral:tRNA from 1 species
GCAUUGAUGGUUCAGUGGUGGAAUUCUUGCCUUCCAUGCGGGAGACCCAGGUUCGACUCCUGACCAAUACA